rnacentral:rRNA from 1 species
GUAGUCCACGCCGUAAACGAUGAGUGCUAGGUGUCGGGGGGUUCUACCCUCGGUGCCGAAGGUAACCCAUUAAGCACUCCGCCUGGGGAGUACGGCCGCAAGGCUGAAACUCAAAGGAAUUGACGGGGGCCCGCACAAGCGGUGGAGCAUGUGGUUUAAUUCGAAGCAACGCGAAGAACCUUACCAGGGCUUGACAUCCCGCUGACCGCUCCAGAGAUGGAGCUUCCCUUCGGGGCAGCGGUGACAGGUGGUGCAUGGUUGUCGUCAGCUCGUGUCGUGAGAUGUUGGGUUCAGUCCCGCAACGAGCGCAACCCUUAUCGCUAGUUGCCAGCAUUCAGUUGGGCACUCUAGCGAGACAGCCGGUGAAAGCCGGA